GAUGAACGCUGGCGGCGUGCCUAAUACAUGCAAGUCGAGCGAACAGACGAGGAGCUUGCUCCUCUGACGUUAGCGGCGGACGGGUGAGUAACACGUGGAUAACCUACCUAUAAGACUGGGAUAACUUCGGGAAACCGGAGCUAAUACCGGAUAAUAUAUUGAACCGCAUGGUUCAAUAGUGAAAGACGGUUUUGCUGUCACUUAUAGAUGGAUCCGCGCCGCAUUAGCUAGUUGGUAAGGUAACGGCUUACCAAGGCAACGAUGCGUAGCCGACCUGAGAGGGUGAUCGGCCACACUGGAACUGAGACACGGUCCAGACUCCUACGGGACGCAGCAGUAGGGAAUCGUCCGCAAUGGGCGAAAGCUUGACGGAGCAACGCCGCGUGAGUGAUGAAGGUCUUCGGAUCGUAAAACUCUGUUAUUAGGGAAGAACAAAUGUGUAAGUAACUAUGCACGUCUUGACGGUACCUAAUCAGAAAGCCACGGCUAACUACGUG
rnacentral:rRNA from 1 species